CUGUUCUCUGAAUGUUGACUUUUAGUGAUGUCCUUUUGUCGUAGUGUCCUUGGGCCUUUUUUGGUAUCCAAGUGGCAUAGAAGGGGAUUUCCGCAUAAAAGUCUUGCAAGAAAGUUUCCACGUUUUGAGUAGAUCGAUUUGUGAUCAAAUAUUAUUUAGAUUGGUUUUUAAAAGUGUGUCCUUGGAUCUUGUUGCGCCUUUGGGGCAUUCCCAUGGGCAUCGAAAAUACACACGGGAUGCGUUUCUGGCCGUUAGCAGCAGUCGACAAGGCAAAGCAAAUCCAUCCACAGAGAAGAAACAGACCAAAGGAGAAAGAUGGAACUCGUUCGGGGAUAUUAGAGGUGCUAUAGCAGAAUGCGCAAUGCGGCUAAUAUGGCUUAAUAUAUAAAAAUUAAACUUUAAAUGUUCUCUUUUUAACUUAUAUAAUGUUAUUGUCCUUUUUGUCCGGACACGUCCUGAUGGGUCGAGAAAUUCUCGAAAUUACAUU